UAGGGAAUCUUCGGCAAUGGGGGGAACCCUGACCGAGCAACGCCGCGUGAGUGAAGAAGGUUUUCGGAUCGUAAAGCUCUGUUGUUAAGGAAGAACGAGUGUGAGAAUGGAAAGUUCAUACUGUGACGGUACUUAACCAGAAAGGGACGGCUAACUACGUGCCAGCAGCCGCGGUAAUACGUAGGUCCCGAGCGUUGUCCGGAUUUAUUGGGCGUAAAGCGAGCGCAGGCGGUUAGAAAAGUCUGAAGUGAAAGGCAGUGGCUCAACCAUUGUAGGCUUUGGAAACUGUUUAACUUAAGUGCAGAAGGGGAGAGUGGAAUUCCAUGUGUAGCGGUGAAAUGCGUAGGUAUAUGGAGGAACACCGGUGGCGAAAGCGGCUCUCUGGUCUGUACCUGACGCUGAGGCUCGAAAGCGUGGGGAGCGAACAGG
rnacentral:rRNA from 1 species